rnacentral:lncRNA from 1 species
AAUAUUUAAUACUUUUAUUUUUAAUGUAGGUUAUAGACAUCUAAAUAAAGUCUAUAUUUCUUGAUUUGUUUUCUAGGAUUUCCAUAAUGAGUCUCCUACCAGCCAUUUGAGAAAUACUUCAGAAAAACAAGUCCUUCACUUCUCCUCUACUAGAUUCCAGGAUCCCAGGAGAACCUACCUUAACCUUCAAGACCAAGGAUUAGUCUUCUUUUUCCCUCCUACCCUGCCUUUAGUCCAUCUAAUUCUACCUUCUACCUCUUGGGCAUGGAUUAAUUAUCAAAUCAACAGUAG